rnacentral:rRNA from 2 species
AAAUUGAAGAGUUUGAUCAUGGCUCAGAUUGAACGCUGGCGGCAGGCCUAACACAUGCAAGUCGAACGGUAACAGGAAGCAGCUUGCUGCUUCGCUGACGAGUGGCGGACGGGUGAGUAAUGUCUGGGAAACUGCCUGAUGGAGGGGGAUAACUACUGGAAACGGUGGCUAAUACCGCAUAACGUCGCAAGACCAAAGAGGGGGACCUUCGGGCCUCUUGCCAUCAGAUGUGCCCAGAUGGGAUUAGCUUGUUGGUGAGGUAACGGCUCACCAAGGCGACGAUCCCUAGCUGGUCUGAGAGGAUGACCAGCCACACUGGAACUGAGACACGGUCCAGACUCCUACGGGAGGCAGCAGUGGGGAAUAUUGCACAAUGGGCGCAAGCCUGAUGCAGCCAUGCCGCGUGUAUGAAGAAGGCCUUCGGGUUGUAAAGUACUUUCAGCGGGGAGGAAGGUGUUGCGGUUAAUAACCGCAGCAAUUGACGUUACCCGCAGAAGAAGCACCGGCUAACUCCGUGCCAGCAGCCGCGGUAAUACGGAGGGUGCAAGCGUUAAUCGGAAUUACUGGGCGUAAAGC